rnacentral:rRNA from 1 species
UGUAGGAAUUUGGUCAAUGGGCGCAAACUUGAACCAACCCUUCCGCGUGCAGGAAGAAUGCCCUAUGGGUUGUAAAAUUNUUUUAUUNCGGAAUAAACCUAUUUANGUGUAGGGCGCUGAAGGUACCAAAUGAAUAAGCACCGGCUAACUCCGUGCCAGCAGCCGCGGUAAUACGGAGGGUGCAAGCGUUAUCCGGAUUCAUUGGGUUUAAAGGGUGCGCAGGCGGAUUUAUAAGUCAGUGGUGAAAGCCGGNAGCUCAACGGUAGAAGUGCCAUUGAUACUGUAAGUCUUGAGUUNGGUAGAAGUGGGCGGAAUGUNUAGUGUAGCGGUGAAAUGCAUAGAUAUUACCCAGAACUCCGAUAGCGAAGGCAGCUCACUAGGCUUUGACUGACACUCAGGCACGAAAGCGUGGGGAUCAAACAGGAUUAGAUACCCUGGUAGUCCACGCUGUAAACGAUGAUUACUCGUUGUCGGCGAUAUCCAGUCGGAGCCUAAGCGAAAGCGAUAAGUAUCCCCUGG